rnacentral:rRNA from 1 species
AGAACUUAGCAGAGAUGCUUUGGUGCCUUCGGGAACUCUGAGACAGGUGCUGCAUGGCUGUCGUCAGCUCGUGUUGUGAAAUGUUGGGUUAAGUCCCGCAACGAGCGCAACCCUUAUCCUUUGUUGCCAGCGGUCCGGCCGGGAACUCAAAGGAGACUGCCAGUGAUAAACUGGAGGAAGGUGGGGAUGACGUCAAGUCAUCAUGGCCCUUACGAGUAGGGCUACACACGUGCUACAAUGGCGCAUACAAAGAGAAGCGACCUCGCGAGAGCAAGCGGACCUCAUAAAGUGCGCCGUAGUCCGGAUUGGAGUCUGCAACUCGACUCCAUGAAGUCGGAAUCGCUAGUAAUCGUAGAUCAGAAUGCUACGGUGAAUACGUUCCCGGGCCUUGUACACACCGCCCGUCACACCAUGGGAGUGGGUUGCAAAAGAAGUAGGUAGCUUAACCUUCGGGAGGGCGCUUACCACUUUGUGAUUCAUGACUGGGGUGAAGUCGUAACAAGGUAGGCGUAGCGAG